rnacentral:rRNA from 1 species
GACGAACGCUGGCGGCGUGCUUAACACAUGCAAGUCGAACGGAAGGGCCCUGCUUUUGUGGGGUGCUCGAGUGGCGAACGGGUGAGUAACACGUGAGUAACCUGCCCUUGACUUUGGGAUAACUUCAGGAAACUGGGGCUAAUACCGGAUAGGAGCUCCUGCUGCAUGGUGGGGGUUGGAAAGUUUCGGCGGUUGGGGAUGGACUCGCGGCUUAUCAGCUUGUUGGUGGGGUAGUGGCUUACCAAGGCUUUGACGGGUAGCCGGCCUGAGAGGGUGACCGGCCACAUUGGGACUGAGAUACGGCCCAGACUCCUACGGGAGGCAGCAGUGGGGAAUAUUGCACAAUGGGCGGAAGCCUGAUGCAGCAACGCCGCGUGCGGGAUGACGGCCUUCGGGUUGUAAACCGCUUUCGCCGGUGACGAAGCGUGAGUGACGGUAAUGGGUAAAGAAGCACCGGCUAACUACGUG